rnacentral:rRNA from 1 species
UACAGAGGGUGCGAGCGUUAAUCGGAAUUACUGGGCGUAAAGCGCGCGUAGGCGGCUUGUUAAGUCGGAUGUGAAAUCCCUGGGCUCAACCUAGGCAUUGCAUACGAUACUGGCAAGCUAGAGUAUAGGAGAGGAAGGUAGAAUUCCAGGUGUAGCGGUGAAAUGCGUAGAGAUCUGGAGGAAUACCGAUGGCGAAGGCAGCCUUCUGGCCUAAUACUGACGCUGAGGUGCGAAAGCAUGGGGAGCAAACAGG